rnacentral:ncRNA from 1 species
UUUAAAAAGAAACCAAGUAGUAAUUUAUAAUAACUUAUAGAGAAGCAAUGGUUGGUGGAAAUUGCUAGUAUAUAAAUUUACGAAUUACAUUUCUUAUAGUAAUUAACGUGUAGCUACGAUAAGCUGUAAAGAGGCAAUUAAAAAUUGUAAAUAAAGGUGGUACCACGAGACACAUCGUCCUUUAA